rnacentral:pre_miRNA from 1 species
UGAUGUCAUCAGCGAUGAUGACGAUGACGAUGCGGAUGCCUAUGACGUCAUCGGCAUCCGCAUCGUCAUCGCCAUCACCACUGAUGACGUCAU